ACAGCUUCCGGCGUGACGCAGUAGAAAAGGUGGCGUGGCUGGCGAUUCGUGCUCGUGAGGGCUUUUUCUGUCUCCCUCUCCUUUUUUCGGUCUCCCUCUCCUUUUUUCGGUCUCCCUCUGUUGCCAAAGCUGGACUGUACUGCCGUGAUCUCGGCUCGCUGCAACCUCCCUGCCUCGGGCUCCUGUGAUUCUCCUGCCUCGGCCUGCCAAGUGCCUGGGAUUGCAGGCGCGCGCCGCCACGCCUGACUGGUUUUUGUAUUUUUGGUGGAGACGGGGUUUCGCCGUGUUGACCGGGCUGGUCUCCAGCUCCUGGCCUCCAGUGAUCUGCCCGCCUCGGCCUCCCGAGGUGCUGGGAUUGCAGACGGAGUCUCGCUCACUCAGUGCUCAAUGUUGCUCAGGCUGGAGUGCAGUGGCAUGAUCUCGGCUCGCUACAACCUCCACCGCCCAGCCGCCUGCCUUGGCCUUCUAAAGUGCUAAGAUUACAGCCUCUGCCCCGCCGCCACCCCGUCUAGGAAGUGAGGAGCGUCUCUGCCUGGCCGCCCAUCUUCUGGGAUGUGAGGAGCCCCUCUGCCCAGCCGCCCCAUCUGGGAAGUGAGGAGCACCUCUGCCCGGCCGCCAUCCCAUAUAGGAAGUGAGGAGCGUCUCUGCCUGGCCGCCCAUCGUCUGGGAUGUGAGGAGCACCUCUGCCCGGUCGCCCCGUCUGGGAGGUGAGGAGCACCUCUGCCCGGCUGCCCCAUCUGGGAGGUGAGGAGCACCUCUGCCCGGCCGCCCGGUCUGGGAGGAAGUGAGGAGCACCUCUGCCCGGCCGCCCCAUCUGGUAGGUGAGGAGCACCUCUGCCCGGCCGCCACUCCGUCUGGGAGGAAGUGAGGAGCACCUCUGCCCGGCCGCCCCGUCUGGGAGAUGAGGAGCACUUCUGCCUGGCCGCCACCCUGUCUGGGAGGAAGUGAGGAGCACCUCUGCCCGGCCGCCCCAUCUGCAAAGUGAGGAGCGCCUCUGCCCGGCCGCCCUGUCUGGGAGGUGAGGAGCGCCUCUGCCCGGCCGCCCAUCGUCUGGGAAGUGAGGAGCGCCUCUGCCCGGCCGCCCGGUCUGGGAGGUGAGGAGCGCCUCUGCCCGGCCGCCCCGUCUGGGAGGUGAGGAGUGCCUCUGCCCGGCCGCCCCGUCUGGGAUGUGAGGAGCGCCUCUGCCCGGCCGCCCUGUCUGGGCGGAGAAAUUCUUCUGCCUUCGGAUGCUGUUGAUCUAUGGCCUUUCCCCCAGCCCCAUGCUUUCUGAAACAUGUGCUGUGUCAACUCAGGGUUAAAUGGAUUAAGGGGGCGCAAGAUGUGCUUUGUUAAACAGAUGCUUGAAGGCAGCAUGCUCUUUAAGAGCCGUCACCACUCCCUAAUCCCAAGUACCCAGGGACACAAACACUGCAGAAGGCCGCAGGGACCUCUGCCUAGGAAAACCAGAGACCUUUGUUCAUGCGUUUAACUCCUGACCUUCUCUCCACUAUUAUCCUAUGACCCUCCCAUAUCCCCCUCUCCGAGAAACACCCAAGAAUCAUCAAUAAAUACUCAAUUAAAAAAAAAAAUGAGCUGUAACACUCACCGCGAAGGUCUGCAGCUUCACUCCUGAGCCAGUGAGACCACGAACCCACCAGAAGGAAGAAACUCCGAACACAUCCGAACAUCAGAAGGAACAAACUCCAGACGUGCAGCCUGAAGAGCUGUAACACUCACCGUGAGGGUCCGCAGCUUCAUUCUUAAAGUCAGUGAGACCAAGAACCCACCAAUUCCGGACACACCAGGAGGUGGAUGUUGCCUGUGCACUCUAACCUGGGAUGAUGCCACUGCACUCUAACCUGGGUGACAAAGCGACACUCAGUCUCAAAAAUAAAUAAAUAAAUAAAUUUUAAAAAAAAA